rnacentral:rRNA from 1 species
GAUGAACGCUGGCGGCGUGCCUAAUACAUGCAAGUCGAGCGAACAGACGAGGAGCUUGCUCCUCUGACGUUAGCGGCGGACGGGUGAGUAACACGUGGAUAACCUACCUAUAAGACUGGGAUAACUUCGGGAAACCGGAGCUAAUACCGGAUAAUAUAUUGAACCGCAUGGUUCAAUAGUGAAAGACGGUUUUGCUGUCACUUAUAGAUGGAUCCGCGCCGCAUUAGCUAGUUGGUAAGGUAACGGCUUACCAAGGCAACGAUGCGUAGCCGACCUGAGAGGGUGAUCAGCCACACUGGAACUGAGACACGGUCCAGACUCCUACGGGAGGCAGCAGUAGGGAAUCUUCCGCAAUGGGCGAAAGCCUGACGGAGCAACGCCGCGUGAGUGAUGAAGGUCUUCGGAUCGUAAAACUCUGUUAUUAGGGAAGAACAAAUGUGUAAGAAACUAUGCACGUCUUGACGGUACCAAAUCAGAAAGCCACGGCUAACUACGUG